GCCACACCUCCCCUGGCUAUGAUUGACAGAGCCUGCAUGAAAAAAACCAACUGGUUUCACUUUCAAACAGAUGUAAUUUACCUUAAAUAAUUGUAUCUCAAUCUCUAAAUUGAACUUUAAUCACAUACAGGAGGCUCUUGCAGGGUCUAGCAAGCUAUUAACAUAGCAGGGGAUAAGAAAAUCUUAAUUAAACAGAACUUGCAAUAAAGAAAGCCUAAAUAGGGCUCUCUUUACAGGAAGUGUUUAUGGAAGGCUGUUCAAGUCACAUGCAGGGAGGUG